rnacentral:rRNA from 1 species
AGAGUUUGACCCUGGCUCAGAACGAACGCUGGCGGCGUGCUUAACACAUGCAAGUCGAACGUGAUUGGAAGCUUGCUUCCAUGAAAGUGGCGCACGGGUGAGUAACGCGUGGAUAACCUGCCCUGGUAUCCGGAAUAACAUCUCGAAAGGGGUGCUAAUACCGGAUAAGCCUACGGAGCCCUCGGUCUCUGCAGGAAAAGGUGGCCUCUAUUUAUAAGCUACCGUAUCAGGAUGGGUCCGCGUACCAUUAGCUAGUUGGUGGGGUAAUGGCCUACCAAGGCGACGAUGGUUAGCUGGUCUGAGAGGAUGAUCAGCCACACUGGAACUGAGACACGGUCCAGACUCCUACGGGAGGCAGCAGUGGGGAAUUUUGCGCAAUGGGGGAAACCCUGACGCAGCAACGCAGCGUGAGUGAUGAAGGCUUUCGGGUCGUAAAGCUCUGUCAGAGGGGAAGAAAUGGAAACGGUUAAUACCCGUUUUUCUUGACGGUACCCUCAAAGGAAGCACCGGCUAACUCCGUGCCAGCAGCCGCGGUAA